UACGUAGGGGGCAAGCGUUGUCCGGAAUCAUUGGGCGUAAAGCGCGCGUAGGCGGCCCGGUAAGUCCGCUCUGAAAGUCAAAGGCUCAACCUUUGAAAGCGAGUGGAUACUGCCGGGCUAGAGUCCGGAAGAGGCGAGUGGAAUUCCUGGUGUAGCGGUGGGAUGCGCAGAUAUCAGGAGGAACACCAACGGCGAAGGCAGGUCGCUGGGACGGUACUGACACUGAGGCGCGAAAGCGUGGGGAGCGAACAGG
rnacentral:rRNA from 1 species